rnacentral:rRNA from 1 species
UACGGGGGGGGCAAGCGUUGUUCGGAAUUACUGGGCGUAAAGGGCGCGUAGGCGGCCUGCUAAGUCGGACGUGAAAUCCCCCGGCUCAACCGGGGAACUGCGUCCGAUACUGGUGGGCUCGAAUCCGGGAGAGGGAUGUGGAAUUCCAGGUGUAGCGGUGAAAUGCGUAGAUAUCUGGAGGAACACCGGUGGCGAAGGCGGCAUCCUGGACCGGCAUUGACGCUGAGGCGCGAAAGCUAGGGGAGCAAACGGG